rnacentral:rRNA from 1 species
CCUACGGGAGGCAGCAGUGGGGAAUCUUGGACAAUGGGCGCAAGCCUGAUCCAGCCAUGCCGCGUGAGUGAUGAAGGCCCUAGGGUCGUAAAGCUCUUUCGCCAGGGAUGAUAAUGACAGUACCUGGUAAAGAAACCCCGGCUAACUCCGUGCCAGCAGCCGCGGUAAUACGGAGGGGGUUAGCGUUGUUCGGAAUUACUGGGCGUAAAGCGCGCGUAGGCGGAUUGGAAAGUUGGGGGUGAAAUCCCGGGGCUCAACCCCGGAACUGCCUCCAAAACUCCCAGUCUUGAGUUCGAGAGAGGUGAGUGGAACUCCGAGUGUAGAGGUGAAAUUCGUAGAUAUUCGGAAGAACACCAGUGGCGAAGGCGGCUCACUGGCUCGAUACUGACGCUGAGGUGCGAAAGUGUGGGGAGCAAACAGGAUUAGAUACCCUGGUAGUCCACACCGUAAACGAUGAAUGCCAGUCGUCGGGUAGCAUGCUACUCGGUGACACACCUAACGGAUUAAGCAUUCCGCCUGGGGAGUACGGUCGCAAGAUUAAAACUCAAAGGAAUGACGG